GAAAGUGUGGCUCAAGUGGUAGAGCGCAUGCUUAGCACGCGUGAGGUCCUUCCUGGGUUCGAUCCCCAGUGCCUCCA
rnacentral:tRNA from 1 species